UACGUAGGUGACAAGCGUUGUCCGGAUUUACUGGGCGUAAAGAGCGCGCAGGCGGUCGAUCAAGUCGAGUGUGAAAGCCCCCGGCUCAACUGGGGAGGGUCAUUCGAUACUGAUCGACUCGAAGGCAGGAGAGGGUAGUGGAAUUCCCGGUGUAGUGGUGAAAUGCGUAGAUAUCGGGAGGAACACCGGUGGCGAAGGCGGCAUCCUGGACCGGCAUUGACGCUGAGGCGCGAAAGCCAGGGGAGCAAACGGG
rnacentral:rRNA from 1 species